rnacentral:rRNA from 1 species
CGCAAGCCUGACGGAGCAAUACCGCGUGAGGGAGGAAGGCUCUUGGGUUGUAAACCUCAAAAAUUAGGGAAGAAGAAAGUGACGGUACCUAAUGUAAGCAUCGGCUAACUCCGUGCCAGCAGCCGCGGUAAUACGGAGGAUGCAAGCGUUAUCCGGAAUCAUUGGGCGUAAAGAGUCCGUAGGUGGUCAUGCAAGUCUGCUGUCAAAGCCCACAGCUCAACUGUGGAUCGGCGGUGGAAACUGCAUGACUUGAGUACGGUAGGGGUAGAGGGAAUUCCCAGUGUAGCGGUGAAAUGCGUAGAUAUUGGGAAGAACACCGGUGGCGAAAGCGCUCUACUGGACCGUAACUGACACUGAGGGACGAAAGCCAAGGUAGCG